rnacentral:rRNA from 1 species
UACGUAGGGGGCAAGCGUUGUCCGGAUUUAUUGGGCGUAAAGAGCGUGUAGGCGGUUUGGUAGGUCCGUUGUGAAAACUCGAGGCUCAACCUCGAGACGCCGAUGGAAACCAUCAGACUAGAGUCCGGAAGAGGAGAGUGGAAUUCCUGGUGUAGCGGUGAAAUGCGCAGAUAUCUGGAGGAACACCGGUGGCGAAGGCGGUUCUCUGGGCCUGUUCUGACGCUGGAGGAGCGAAAGCGUGGGGAGCAAACAGG